rnacentral:sRNA from 1 species
UUUUGAAGAUGUAUGAUCCCAAAACGCGGAGCUUGAAUUACUGUGGGCAUAUCUACACACCAAUAUCCUGUAAAAUACGUGACUUGCUCCCAGUUAUGUGUGACAGAGCAGGAUUUAUUCAAGAUACUAGCCUUAUCCUCUAUGAGGAAGUUAAACCGAAUUUAACAGAGAGAAUUCAGGACUAUGACGUGUCUCUUGAUAAAGCCCUUGAUGAACUAAUGGAUGGUGACAUCAUAGUAUUUCAGAAGGAUGACCCUGAAAAUGAUAACAGUGAAUUACCCACCGCAAAGGAAUAUUUCCGAGAUCUCUACCACCGCGUUGAUGUCAUUUUCUGUGAUAAAACAAUCCCUAAUGAUCCUGGAUUUGUGGUUACGUUAUCAAAUAGAAUGAAUUAUUUUCAGGUAUUUAAUAAAUGCUCCUUUCCUCUUCAGAUCCCACUCCAGAAAGACAAAUUUCUUUCUUAAAAUGCUUGUUGAAGAAGCUAUCUCAUGGUUUUGGUUCAGAAGGGGCUGUGCCCGAGGAAAUCUCCCACUGAUGGAUUCAGGCUCUCUGCCAUGGGAGCUAGAAUAAUCGCCAUCAGAAAAGAACCUGUAGACCUCACCAUUAAAAGUGAAAACCCUUUUCAAAGUUAUCUUCAUCAGAUAUGCUACUCCCAUGGUGAUUCAUUAGGGAAUAAUAUAGUUUAUUCCUGUUUAAUA